AAUGGGGAUGCUAGACAUAUAUCCGCCUUUUGCGUCUCAAUUUCGCUCAGUUCGUCCUGUUUUCCCUUCCUAUUCUCCUUUGUAAAACACAAAAUUUAGAGAAUCGCAGAGGGAGAGAGUCUGAUUACACUCCUUUUAUGGACUUAAUGGAGUUCUUUGGCUAGUCGCUCUCUUCUUCGAUUUGCAUUUGAAAAUCAACGCACGGGCUUCAACGGAAUAUCUGGCUUUCAAGUUCUUCCGUUGAAAUCGAUAAAGAAGCUUAACAGGAUUCUUGAUUUCGAAGUUUUGAUAGACGAUAAUGGCUGGAUCAGACGAGAACCACCCUGGUGUGAUCGGACCCGUUAAUGUCCAAGGUGGUUUACCGGCCGGAGUUGGGAAGUUCACGACGGCGACUGGAAACAACCGCAGGGCAUUGAGUAACAUAAAUCGGAACAUAAUUGGAGCGCCACCUUACCCUUGUGCAGUCAACAAAAGAGGUUUAUCAGAGAAACAAUCAAUAUGCAGCAAGAACCCACCCAUUCCAGUGCAUCGACCAAUCACUAGGAAGUUUGCUGCCCAGCUAGCUAACAAGCAGCCAGAGGUACCUUUUUUCUGCUACCAAAGACCUUUCAUUUGUUGUUACUUGGGCUAGAUAGACAUACAGAGUGAGCGAUAGAACAAAUUUACUGAUAUUAGCAGGAAACCAAGAAACCAGAUAUUUCCGUCCCAAUUUCAAGCGAGUCAGAAGAUUGCAGUAUCAUAGAUGUAGAACAUUACAAGUCCACAGGUGACUUUUCUGUGCCUAUGUUUGUACAACA
rnacentral:misc_RNA from 1 species